AAAACGACUCUCGGCAACGGAUAUCUCGGCUCUACGCAUCGAUGAAGAACGUAGCGAAAUGCGAUACUUGGUGUGAAUUGCAGAAUCCCGUGAACCAUCGAGUCUUUGAACGCAGCAUAAGUGCCAGCCCCAACCUUCCCCGGCCGAGGGCACGUCUGCAGGUGUCACAA
rnacentral:rRNA from 1 species